AACCAUAGAAACCUGCGGAGUACCUGCGGAAGGAUCAUUACCGAGUUACACAACUCAUCAACCCCUGUGAACUUACCUACAACGUUGCUUCGGCGGGAACAGACGGCCCCGUAAAACGGGCCGCCCCCGCCAGAGGACCCCUAACUCUGUUUUUAUAAUGUUUUUCUGAGUAAACAAGCAAAUAAAUUAAAACUUUCAACAAUGGAUCU
rnacentral:misc_RNA from 1 species